rnacentral:lncRNA from 1 species
ACUAGAAGUUCUUUUUACAAUUUGAUCUAACUUCUUAGUCAUUUUACAUUCAACACAUGUUUUACACUUAAAUGUAUCGUUCUCAUUUUAUGAUAUCAAAUCAGAUUUUAACAUUUUUUUCAUAGUACUUUUACUUAUGUGACCUAAUCUAGUAUGCCAUAAAAUAAAUGAAUCAACAAUACAAGUAAAAUCAACUUUAUU